CCAAAAUCACCUAUACUACGUCGUUUUGUAAUGUACCCUUAUAAGCUUAUUUGCCCUAAAUCUAAAAGCUGUGCCACUGAGAGUAGAGACGCUAAUCUGUAAUAUCAAUUCUACGCCGCCUCACCCUCCCGUCACACAUGCCUGUGCCUCUUCUCUGAGCACUGAGCUCCACCACUUCCAGCGGGUCCACUGUCCACCGUCCAACCUCCACUCUCCUCCCGACAUAGACCGAUUAACCAUCGCGGCUAACUCGGGUCGUCGAUCUUCACUUGUAACGCUGAGUCGCCGACUCCUCCUUACCUCACUGUAGCUCUCUAGUCUCUCUCUCCAGUCUCCACACAAUCGUCGGUCGUCGCUCUCCACGCAAUCUUCGGCCGUCGCUCUCCAGUCCAUCGGCUCUCAAUGUUGUCAGCAACUUGGUUGUCCUCAAUCCUCUGUCUUCCUCAAGUCCUCAGUCUUUCUCAGUUCUCAGUCCUCGCCUCCUCGGUCCUCAUCAGCAACUGUAAAAGUUGCCAAAGCCCAAACCUCCAACAAAGUUGGAAUUGUUUGCCUAAGUGAAAGGUACAAAGAAUCGAAAGAAAGACAAGGUGGUGUGGGAUGAACAAACUGGCACUUGGAAGCGUCGUUAUGGGUAUGAUCGUGUUAAUGAUGAUGAAGAUAUUCCCAUCAUUGAGGCCAAGAUGACUGACGAGCCAGGGGAGGAUCCAUAGAGUCGGAAAAACAAGGGAAGAAUCGGGUGCAGAACUUGAAACAAGCUGCAGAAGCUGGUGCUUUGCCAAGGUUUUUCCUCUAAUAACUUUAUUCUCUCAUAUUCUCUAUUCAUACUUGAAGUUCGAUAACAUAGAGUUUCUAAAAAUUAUAAUUGCUGUCACUCCUCUAAGCAUCUUUGAUUGGUUUGAGCUCUUUUGAAUGGGGUCUAUUCAUACUUGAAACAAGGUUUGAUGGCUGCAGACCUUGAGUUUAAUGGCAGGCGAUCUAGAUCCACCUUGAUCGCUGAACAGGCCAGGCGGCAAGCUGAAAUAGCCAGGUACUUGUUGAAACUCUGUUCGCUGAAAUAGCCAGGGUUCUGGUUUGGUCAUUUAGAUAUUACAUCUCCUUUGACUGGAACUCUCUUUAGGUUUGCAAUCAAAUUUUUUGAUAAUCAAAAUUGGAUUGGUUAUAAUCUUCUUGGAUUGGUUCUCAAAAUUGGAUUGGUUCUCAAGUUAAUCUUCUUAAUAAGCAUGUUUAUGUUGUGCAUAUAUGAUAUUCUUUUCUUUCUUUAUUUCUUGGUUAAAUCCUGUUGAGUUUACUUUCGUGCUCCUGUGUUGUACUUUUAGGAAUUGGACCUGAUUUAAUCAAAUUGGUGAAAAUCUUUUGCUACUGUAAAUUAAUUAUGGUUAUGUAAUCCUCAUUUGUUUAAGUAAUUUUGCAAUCAUUUUCUCUCCUUUGUUUUGUGGAGUGUCUUACUGUCUAUUUUAUUCCUAAUGACUGCUUUUUAUGAGUGAUUUUGUAGAAGCUGGAACCUGUUUUUGUUUUCAUACUUGAUAUAAUUUCUUAGGCUCUUGAUAUAGAACUAGAAGUGCAAGUUUUGCCUGAUUGAACUAAUUACUAUCUGCAAUUUUGAUAGCAGAGGCUUUAAUUGUUUGAUAUUUCAUCUGACAGAUUUGUUAGAGGCCAUACCCUCUGGCUUUCUGUGUGCAAGCCUCUCUAUAGUUGCCCAUCACCAACCUUGACCUUAAUGUAACCCUCAAGGCCCCAUGUAAACUAUUAAUCUGAUUAUUUGAUUAUUAAUCUGAUUAUUUGCUAUUUGGUUACUUAAAAUCAAUUUAAUGGCUGCCACUUCUGUUAGCUGUGUUUAGUCAUUAUUCCUUGAAAUUCUUACAUACUGUACUACUUGUGAUUAAAAUUCUAACCCCAUUUACCUUAUGGUAGCUAUCAUCAAAAUUGUGGACAGUGAUAUUGUGGACAGUGAUUGGGAGUGAUGCAGUGAA